rnacentral:rRNA from 1 species
UACGGGGGGGGCAAGCGUUGUUCGGAAUUACUGGGCGUAAAGGGCUCGUAGGCGGCCAACUCAGUCGGACGUGAAAUCCCUCGGCUUAACCGGGGAACUGCUUCCGAUACUGGAUGGCUUGAGUGUGGGAGAGGGAUGCGGAAUUCCAGGUGUAGCGGUGAAAUGCGUAGAUAUCUGGAGGAACACCGGUGGCGAAGGCGGUUCUCUGGGCCUGUGCUGACGCUGAGACGCGAAAGCGUGGGGAGCGAACAGG